AUUGAACGCUGGCGGCACGCUUAACACAUGCAAGUCGAGCGGUAACAUGACUAGUAGCAAUACUAGUUGAUGACGAGCGGCGGACGGGUGAGUAACACGUAGGAACUUGCCCAGUAGUGGGGGACAACCAAGGGAAACUUUGGCUAAUACCGCAUAUUCUCGAGAGAGGAAAGCUGCCGCAAGGGGGCGCUACUGGAGAGGCCUGCGUCCGAUUAGCUAGUUGGUGAGGUAAAGGCUCACAAAGGCGAGGAUCGGUAACUGGUCUGAGAGGACGACCAGUCACACUGGGACUGAGACACGGCCCAGACUCCUACGGGAGGCAGCAGUGGGGAAUCUUGGACAAUGGGGGCAACCCUGAUCCAGCGAUGCCGCGUGAGUGAAGAAGGCCUUCGGGUCGUAAAGCUCUUUAGGCUGGGAAGAAGGUUGGUAGUUUAAGAGAUAAUCAAUUUGACUGUACCAGCAGAAUAAGCACCGGCAAACUCUGUGCCAGCCGCCGCUGUAA
rnacentral:rRNA from 1 species